CAAAAGCCAAAGAGUCUGGCGA
rnacentral:snRNA from 1 species